UUUACUUUAUGGCCACAUUUCCAUAUGUGAUGCUGGCGGUGUUGCUUGUUCGUGGACUCCCGUUGCCUGGGGCCUUGGUUGGGAUCAAGUUCUACCUCUACCCAGAUCCAUCCCGCCUGGCUGACCCACAGGUGUGGAUGGAUGCUGGCACACAGAUAUUUUAAUCCUAUGCUAUUUGCAUCGGGUGUCUAACUGCACUUGGCAGUUAUAAUAAGUACAACAAUAAAUAACUGCUACAAGUUAGUUUGAUAUAAUGUCUAUUCAGUGGUUCAGUUUGAGUACUGUACAUAUAAAACACUCACAAAAAGAAAACACCUUCAGUAGGCACUAGAUUUAAAAAGCAUAAAAAUGCAAGACGAAAAAAUUAAAUACAUAAAUGUGUCAUUAAUUCAUUCAAAUACCGAUUCUCUUACCCUCUCAGACUUGAUUUUUUCCCCUAUUAUAAAUGAAAUACUGUAAGUUAUAUUGUGUGUAAAGGUUCUUAGUCAUCCAUGACACAGGAUAUGUAGUUCUGUUAAUCUAAAUGUCAUAUAUUCAAAAGGUACUAGAGGAACCUGUAAAUAUAAAAUCAUACCUUUACCUAAAGAUAUUAUUCUAAUUGUAGACGUGUUGGUAUAAUCAAUCCCUGGGUUAGAUGCUGUAUAAGAAGAUUUAUUUUACUAAUUCAGUGUCUUGUGACUUUAAGAGAUUUUUUUAUUACUGUGACAUCAGUAUGCGGCCACAAUAUGUAAGAAAUGCAUCAACCAUGUCUGCUUAAAACUGUUGACAGCAGACUGCAACUUUUUAUGCUCUUUCUAUUUACUAUUUACACUAAAGACCUUUCUCUGCCACUGGCAUUAUGUAAAUGUUAUGAGGAGAGCCUGAAUUUCAAAUAUUGUCUUCCAAAAGGCAAUAUGACCUUCGCAGAGGAAAAGUGAUCCCUCUUCAGUUGCUCCACUUGAGGGCAGGACAGUGGAUGUCAUACAGAUUAAAGCCCUUUACGGGUAAUUUAAACAUAAAACUAAACUGACUUGGCCUGCAUGGACAACCACACUGAUCAUCAUGAUUGAUUAAUCAAAUGUUUUGAGUUAAAUUAAUACAUCAGUACAUUUCUUUUCAUGAAUGCAAUUUUAUUAUCUAUUUCAUAAUUUUUUUUUUACAUUUUUCAUAAAAUACAUACAAACAAUAACACUGGUGGACCAGUAAAACAUGAUACAUGAAAAUACCCUACGUGUGAUUUCACAUCACAGCAGAAAGUGUGAAUUUAGGUGUUUUUAGAGCCAUCAAAUGCUGUACAGUGAUCCACAGCUCAUUCACACUCACUUACUCACUCAAAUACUCUUGCACACACACAGACACACAGAUGCACACAGCAUAUGCAUUUCUUUAUAUAUAAAUAUUAACAGGUGAGUUCCUGUGUUUGGUCCAAAGUCCAUUUAGCAAAUCCAUAAAUGGCAAAAAUUCAAUUGUUAUAUUUUCUCUAGAUCUUUUUUUUUUAAGAUCUGGAAGCAAAUACAGAAAAUGUCCACAGAAAUGAAGAUGUCAUCGUGAUUAGGCGACAGAGGAGACUUCGGUCUUGCUGGCAGAAACUGAGGUCUCAUCAUCCACCAUGCCACCCAUUCCAACAGUGCUCAGCAUGCAGUUACGGAACUGAAGAAGAGAGCAAAGAUAGCAAAUUCAGAAACAAGUGCAUGGUUCAGGAUUGUAAAAACAAAAGGCAAAUACUAGAAACAAAAAAACAUACUGUUGUUGUUGUACUGACCUGUUUGUUAAAGAGCACAUAGAUAAUAGGAUUAUAAAGUGCUGAGCUCUUUGCAAAGAAGGCGGGAAGACUUGCUGUCAGGGCAGUAAAGGCAGCUCCUUUGUUCAGGAAGAUCCAACCAGCGAAAGUGGCAUAUGGUACCCAUGCUACCAGGAAGCCAAAGACCAUCAAGACACACAUACGUGUCACUUCCCUCUCGGCCUUCUGGGUAGACUCUGAGUCCUGCUGCUGGGCUGCAGCCUAAAGAUUUUGAUGAAAUGAAAGAUAAUCAGCAUAAGUUCAUCCAAUAAAUUCUACCAUGUACAGUGGUGGCGAUUAGUUAGUUAGUUCAUCCUAUUAUUAAUGAUACACAGGGCAAAGAACAACUAAAACUUCACUUACAGCUUUGACAGUGAGCACAAGGCUUCCGUAAGUGAAGAAAAUGGUGGUGACGGGAAACAUGAAGUGAACAACAAACAUGUAGAUGACGUAUGAUUCAUUGUUAAAGCCUGCAGCCAGAGUGUAGUAGUCGGGUCCGCAGGAGCACUGCAUGCCCUCAGGAAUGUACCUGUGUGAAGUUAAAGAAGAACAAAUCAUGCAUGACAUUUUUCUGUGUUUAUUUAAAGGCACACUAUGCAAGAUUUUUACCUUAAUAUAACAGCUUCGAAGUCAUUUCAAUGGUAAACAAACUCAUACUAUAGCGAAUCAUCCCGAUAGCAAAGCAGGAGAGGGACGCCAUUGGCAGAACCAGCAAUGCAAGUCUGAAAGGUGGCGCCCUGCCAAAUCUUACGCCGCGACAUCACAUACAUCAGCAAGCAGGCAUUCACUCAGAUGUUACCUGGUCAGUAGACAUCUUCAGAGUCUAUCUUUGCCUGUUCGAUGUCCGAGCUUCCAUCCUACUGAACAUGUGUGUUUUCAGUGUGUUUUUUGCUAUUUUUAACUCUUUUCACGUCGCCUAAAUACUUUUUGGGCAUUUUUGAGCACUUUUUAUUUUUUGUUUGCACGGGUCUCCAUGGCGACGGGGAGUCACAUUGUUUACACCUGUGACCAGAAGAUGGCCCUGAGGCACCCGAGCAUCCUGAUUGGAGAGAGAGCCUCCAUACUGGAGGAGCUGAGGAGGAGACGGCGAGGCUGGAGAGCGGGGUUAAACGGAGGAUGAAGAAGAGGAGGUUUAAACUCUACAUCCCUGCAGUCAUCACUGGAAACAAACGUGGCUACACAAGCAGAUACCGGACUCCAACGUCACCAUGCCCGGCUUCCAGACGGUUCAACCAACAGGGACACCACCGCGACCAGCAAGAAGAAAGGAGGGGGACUUGCUGUGCUCAUAAUAAACAGGUGGUGUAACCCUGGGCACGUCUGUGUGAAAGAGUGUGUCUGCAGCCCGGACAUUGAGCUGUUGCCGUUGGACUUUGUCCGUAUUAUCUGCCAUUGGAACUUUCCAGUGUUAAAGCCAUCACUGUCUAUAUUCCUCCGCCUGGGAAAGCAGAAGCAGCGUGUGAUGUCAUCCACACUGUGACUGCAGGACUACAAACGAAAAACCCGGAGGCCUUCAUCAUCAUCACAGGGGACUUCAACCAUGUUUCUCUCUUGUCCACACUCCCAACCUUCCACCAGUUUGUCACAUGCACCACCAGAGACAAUAGGACCUUGGACCUGCUGUAUGCAAAUGUUCCUGUUUUUUAUAUCUGUAUUUAUUUCACUCAAAUGUUGCUGUGACAAGUGAAUUUCCCCAUUGUGGGAUUAAUAAAGCUAUCUAUCUAUCUA